UACGAAGGUCCCAAGCGUUAUCCGGAUUUAUUGGGUUUAAAGGGUGCGUAGGCGGAUUAUUAAGUCAGUGGUGAAAGCCCCAGGCCUAACCUGGGAAUUGCCAUUGAUACUGAUGAUCUUGAGUACAUUUGAGGAGGGCGGAAUGUGUCAUGUAGCGGUGAAAUGCUUAGAUAUGACACAGAACACCGAUUGCGUAGGCAGCUCUCUAAACUGUAACUGACGCUGAGGCACGAAAGCGUGGGGAGCAAACAGG
rnacentral:rRNA from 2 species